AUAACAAAAAAUAAUAAUAAAACAGUUAAUUUUAAAACCGAUGUAGGAAGAAUAGGGGCACAUUAUGCGGAUAUUUUAAAUAAAUUAGUGAUAUAAUAGAAUAUAGGAGAGAAAACAGGUUUCGGACAAAGGAAUACAAUUGUUAUCUGACCUUGUAUGAAAAUUUCUCUUAGACUUGAUUCGUAAGCAUGAUAAGAUGUAUCGGAAUAAAUUUAAGAAACAAUUAGUGAUAAAAAUUGAUAAUAGUCUUAGAUAAGAGUAUUAUUAACCUGAUGAUGGGAACAUUUCCCGAAACGUCGUUAUAAUUGGAGUUUUAGAAAUAAAGGAGGGAAUGAUGUCACAA